UUUAAAACCUAAAAAUUCUUCGCAAGGGUGUUAAAUGUGUCGGAACUUCCGACACUGUGCCGGAACUUCCGGUACAAGGGCUGAACUUCUAACAGAGUAAAAAGUACUCUACGAAAUUCAUAAUAAAACAUGUUUCAACAGAAACUAUUUGAAUCAAAAGUUUAGCAAUGAAGUAUAGAGACUACUGCAGGUAAUCUUUACUUCACAAGAAAGUACAUCGGCACAAAUCAAACUCUAGG
rnacentral:lncRNA from 1 species